rnacentral:rRNA from 1 species
UACAGAGGUCUCAAGCGUUGUUCGGAUUCAUUGGGCGUAAAGGGUGCGUAGGUGGCGCGUUAAGUCAGGUGUGAAAUUUCGGAGCUUAACUCCGAAACUGCAUUUGAUACUGGCGUGCUUGAGGACUGGAGAGGAGACUGGAAUUCAUGGUGUAGCAGUGAAAUGCGUAGAGAUCAUGAGGAAGACCAGUGGCGAAGGCGGGUCUCUGGACAGUUCCUGACACUGAGGCACGAAGGCCAGGGGAGCAAACAGG